UGGAACGGAUAACAGCGUGCGUUAGCCAUAAAACUGUUUUAUAAAAACAAUGAUAGUUUGGUAGCGGCACAAAUGGACUUUCGACGUUUUUAUAAUUUAGGACGUCAUGAUGCCGUCCCACUGAAACACACGAUAAAAUGUUGGAUUAACAACUUUGAAGAGACUAGAUCUGCCCUCAAGAAGAAAACAAACAGGGCGACCAAGGAGAGUGCGUUUUUUCAGUGAGUCUGUCUUACGGAGCCCCUGGCGUUCAAUUCGUAAGCAUGCAGCAGUGGUUGGAAUGUCCCGGGAGAGUGUUCACAGAAUUCUUCAUCAUGAUUUAAAAUGUCAUCGGUACAGAUUACAGAUGGUGCAACAAUUGAAGGACAACGAUUACGGGUUCUGAUUAGGAUUCUGUCAACAAAUGAUGACAAAAUAAACAAUGACGAUGAAUUUCUAAACAAGUUGUGGAUGUCAGAUGUAGCACAUUUUCAUGUCAAAGGUUAUGUGAAUAAACAGAAAUACCGUUACUGGUCAAACACAAACUAUAAAAUCGUUCAUUAGUGCCCUUUACACGCUAGUAAACUGACAGAAUGGUGUGGUGUUUCAUCACAUGGCUUUAUCAGACCAUAUUUUUUCGCGAAUGAACAAGGAAAAACAAUAACUGUCAACGCCGAUCGCUACGUGGAGAUGUUACAAACUUUCGUUACACAUGCUUUGAACAACUUUCCAAACGUUCAAGAAGCCAGGUUUCAACAGGACGGGGCGACAUCACACACUGCACGGCAAUCAAUGGCAUGUGAGUGAGAAUUGUUUGGCAACCGUGUGAUCUCACGAUUCGGUAACAUUCCCUGGCCUCCUAGAUCGCCAGAUUUAUCCGUUUGCGAUUUUUCUUCUUGUGAGGCUACCUCAAGAGCAAUGUCUACACGACUCGACCAAGAACCCUGGACGAGUUAAAACAGAUAAUUCGGGAUGCAAUUCACAAUAUCCCAACUGAGAGUUGCAACAGUCAAUGAGGAAUCUCAACAGCAGAUUUCACGAAUGUAUUCGCACGGGAGGACAACAUCUAAAGGACGAAAUUUUUAAAAAAUGAUGAAUACCAUCAGUUCGCCAAAAUUUGGAGCUCUGCUUCAAUCAGUUCUGUACUAUAUCGAUUUUUUGUUUCAUUCCAUUAAUUAUUCAUUGGUGAGAACGCACUUUCCACUAAAGCAUUAGAUCCUAGUAUAGUGAACAAGAAUCCCACUAACUUACAGAUAUUCGGUACAUUAUGUUCUGGUACAGCUGAGAAGAUACUUAAUCACGUCGUUACAUCACUAGCGUCUUUGUUCACAUUUUCAGCUUAUCAGUCAGAAGAUACAUUUGUUUAGAGGUCUUCAAGACCAAUACUUUGGAAAAAGUUCUUGAUGGCAUCCCAGUUCACAAGGAUCCUGCUUUCAGCUGUAGUCAAAGGAAACCAUCUUGUGAGAACAUUCCAGUUCCACGAGCUGGAAAAAAGAUUUCAGUUCCUCUCUUCGUCUUCCAGAAACGCUGUGUAAAUUUUUACAAAAUGUGUAAUGGUGAAGUGCACUUACUGAAGAAGAUCAACUCAUCAGCAAAAUAUAAAUGAGGAAUGACUCCUGCACUAAUAACUGUAGAGGAUCAUUUGGGUGGAGUGAAUUCAGAGCUACUACAUAUAACCAAGUUAAGAAGAAUUCCUUCAUAUUUUAAAUCAUCUUGAGAGGCACUGGUGUUCCCUGGAGUCGGGUGCCUGCAUCUACAAUUGAAAUGGAGGAAAAGAAGUCCAUGGUCAUAUUUUCGUAAAAUUAACAGAGGGAGAAGCUGUCAGAAGACGAGAAAUACAAUUAAAACAUAUAUAGUGAUGGACACAGAAAAAGAAACGAUGCAAGGUGAUGUGCAAACGUAAAAUGACUGUAAAGAUGUGGUGGAUAUUUGAAAAAACUGGGACACACAAAACAAGGAUGUUACCUCAUGGGACUAUUUAUAUUUUACUAGUACAGAGAUGUUAUCAUAGUACUUACAAUGAACCAUCAGACACAUGAAGGCAAUGCUCCAAGAAUUACACACUUCUGGAUGCAUAAGGAAAUUUGAGGAAGGUGUGUAAAAAUACAUUCAUGGAAAUUUUUGAAAUCAGCCCUCAGAAGAUUAUGACACUUAUCAAGAGGAAAAAAAUGUGGAAAUACAACCUUCAAAGACAAGUGUGGUGGUGUGAGGAAAUAUAAGUACAUUUACAGUGACAGAAUCUUGGCAUGAGAAUAUAUUGCAAUAAGGAUAGCCACAAUAACAGUCUGAAGUCACAAAACAAGUACCUACGACUCGAUGUUAAUGUGCAUGUGCUAUAUGAAGCACUCAAAGUAAAAUACCAAGAAAAAAGUCACAUAUAGGUUUUACACCCAGAAAAAAGUCACAUAUAAGUUUUACAAAGCUGUGUUUGUGAAAGAUUUUUCAAACUUAUCUUUUCAAAGAGCAUGAGUUGAUACAUGCAAAACACUUGAUUCCCUGCAUGUAAGAUCAGAGUCAUACACUGGUAUCGCAAGAUCAGUAAUGUAUGCUCUUGAGUUACAACAUCACCAAGUGUUUCCUCUGCCGAGAUUUAUCACAGCAACAUUUACUACUCCUGUCAACUUUUACAUUAGUCUUGGAAUCCACAUGACCAAUACUGCUGAUGAUGCUUUUUGCCUCUGGUAUGAAGGCCAAUCAGGAAGAGAAAGGAACCAGGUGGCAUCAUGCAUAAUACAUUAAAUAUAGGACUUCUCAGCACCAACAUACAAAAUCUGUGUGUACGGUGUGAUUACUGUGCUUGUCAAGUAAGAACUGUGUAAUUUUGUUUAUAUACAUAUUCCUUGUGGCAAACAGUUUCAUUCAUACAAUUGAUCAGAAAUUUCUAGUUCCUGCACACUCAUACUCUUCAUACCACAACUUUUCUUCUGUUGAUGAAUGUGCUGGAUGUUCUAGUUUGCAAAGUGUGGAAGACUACUAAUGCUGCUGCAACACCCUUCAAAGUGCCACACAUGGGGAAUAAAAACGUUUUCGAUUUCGACCAUGUCUCAUUGAAGUACAGACACACCUCCCAACUACCACCGAUCACCAAAGCUACACGGCUACGAAUUGCCAAAGAACAUCUAGGAAUGGUUUUGUACAAAAGAAACUGCAGUGUAAUUGCAGACUGAGAAAUAUGCUGUGUGUUGAAGGCAAGCAUGACUCAGAAUCUACAUAAAAACUGCAACUUUCCAGGACUGAUAGUGAGGAACCUUUCCAUGAAUUGAAAAAGGGAAACUGAAGAAAAAGACUUGAUUUUAUGAGUGAGGAAACUAAACAAUAUUUUUCAAGGAUUCUGUCAGUCUAUGUGCCUAUUGAUGAUGGUGAGCAAGGACUUAGUUCUGUUUCGUAAUAUUUCUACUGGAGACUGACGUUUCAAAGUUUCUUAAUUUGUUAAAAAAAUAAUGUUAAGUCUUUAUGAGAAAGUUUCUUAUGCAGCAUAUAUUACAGAAUUUUCCUCAGUUUUUUCCAUUAGUUAGUUCUGUGGAUUACUUUGCGUGUUAUACUGUAAUCAUGUGGAAUGAAUCAUUUUAAAUUCACAUUGCACAUUAAUUUGUACAUAGGUUACAUUUUGAAAAUUUCUAAGUUUUUUUAUUUUUUUACAAAAAGAAAAUAGACAUACAGAUUUAAGUUAGUAGUUCCUUUUCAUCACCUUUCACGCAUUACAGUAACAGAAAUUCUUCUACAGAUUCGAAGGAGUUGUUAAUAAGAAUCUUUGUCAGUUUAUUACCAAAUUUUACUUCGCUGUCCGUCAGACAUUUUAUAUCACUGGGUAAGUGAAGAAAAACUUUUGUUGGUGCAUCAUGCAUCCCUUUUUGUGCUGAAGAUAACUUCAAAGUGGAGUAAUGAAUGUCAUUUUUCCUUCUGGUACUAUAAUUAUGUACCUCAUGGUCCCUUUUGAACUGUGGUGAAUUAUUUACAGCAAGCUUAAUGAGACAGGACACACUAUGGAUUAUUCUGCUGCAAAAAUCUGGACACCAGCAAAAUCCUUUUGGGAUUCAGUAAUUAAAGAAUCUGUGGAAAUAUGUCUAGCACAAAUUCUUAUAAAUUUUGACAGCGGCAUUCAACUGGUGGUCAUGGCUUGCAACGCAGUCAUCUCUUUAAUCUCUUCCGAGAGAAAACAUUUUAUUCAUUACAACGUAUCUGGCAACAUCUGACAUUUGUUUUUAGUGAUACUGUGUCGAAGCAAGCUGGGAUAUUUUUACUUCCCCUAUUUUUUGCCAUCUGCCUACUUAAAUUCGUUUUUUCCAUUUUCGAACUAAUUACUAUUAACAUACGUGAGUAUAAUCUGUAUUUUCAUACAAGAGAAAGAUUGGCCCUCAGUUUUAAAGAACAUAACAUCGGAUCUAAUGUAAUUGAUUUUCUAAUUUAUUUUGACUAUUCCUAGUUAGUAUCUUUCAUUAUAGGGUGAAAUCAAUAAUUGUUUCGUAAGUUAAAUUCUAUUGCUGAUGUAUAAAAAUAUACAAAGUCUGUAAUAAUUAUAAACGUUUGGAAGAUGAAAUGCUAGUAAUCUUAAAGUAUCUAUCUGGCUCUAAUCGAAAACAUGUUAACAAAGCCAGCCCAUAAUUAAUUCCAAAGUAAUGAAUAGUUUUGUCAAAAGUAUUGUUUAUGUAACUAUAUGUGUUAAUUUAAUCAUUUAACCAAAUAAUUCCGCCUCAACCUUGUAGUAGAAGAAACUGUUAAAAGGAAUGAAUUUUUUGAUGUAUUCUGUUAAUUUAAUGAGUUAAGUUUUAAUUGUUAAUUUCUGUAAAUUUAACUUCAAACAAUGUGCAGUUUCAGUACCUAUUAUUGUGAUGAUAUACAAGGGCCCGAUUUUUGGUCACGAGACAAGUCAGUCCACGGCCAAGUUUCAGAUGAGGAACCAGUGUAGGUUCUGUUUCCAUACAUACCUGUUUAUUCUCCAAGAACUGUGAACAUUGUGGUUAAGUUUUUACUGCUCGUUGAUGUUCAACAGAAAGUUCUUGUAGCAGUAUGUGGAUGUUCAACUGCAAACUAUUAAUGAUGCUCAUGGAAAGUUAAACAAUAGUGCACUGGCCAAAUAACUGUGUAUUAUCAGGGGGUUGUGAAAACUUAAAGUAAAAGAAUGUGAAACGCAA